rnacentral:rRNA from 1 species
GCCAGCCGCGCGGUAAUACGUAGGGUGCAAGCGUUGUCCGGAUUUAUUGGGUUUAAAGGGUGCGUAGGCGGCUUAUUAAGUCAGGGGUGAAAGACUAUUGCUUAACAAUGGCAGUGCCUUUGAUACUGAUAGGCUUGAGUACAGCUGAGGCAGAUGGAACGGGUGGUGUAGCGGUGAAAUGCAUAGAUACCAUCCAGAACACCGAUUGCGAAGGCAGUCUGCUAAACUGUAACUGACGCUGAGGCACGAAAGCGUGGGGAUCGAACAGG